GUGCUCACUGAGGCAGUACAUAUACUAAAAUUGGGAUGAUGCUUUGGAGGGUAGCUUGGCCCCUGCACAAGGGUGACACACAAAUUCAUGAAGAGUUCCAUAUUUUA